rnacentral:rRNA from 1 species
AUUAAACGCUGGCGGCAUGCCUUACACAUGCAAGUCGAACGGCAGCACGGGGGCAAUCCUGGCGGCGAGUGGCGAACGGGUGAGUAAUAUAUCGGAACGUGCCCAGUAGUGGGGGAUAGCCCGGCGAAAGCCGGAUUAAUACCGCAUGAGACCUGAGGGUGAAAGCGGGGGAUCGCAAGACCUCGCGCUAUUGGAGCGGCCGAUAUCAGAUUAGCUAGUUGGUGGGGUAAAGGCCUACCAAGGCAACGAUCUGUAGUUGGUCUGAGAGGACGACCAGCCACACUGGAACUGAGACACGGUCCAGACUCCUACGGGAGGCAGCAGUAGGGAAUAUUGGACAAUGGGGGAAACCCUGAUCCAGCAAUGCCGCGUGUGUGAAGAAGGCCUGCGGGUUGUAAAGCACUUUUGGCAGGGAAGAAAAGCACUGGCCUAAUACACCAGUGUGUUGACGUAACCUGCAGAAGAAGCACCGG